AGGCGGGGUACGACCUGUGUGCCCAGGUUGAGCACCGAGCACCGCUCAGGAAGGAGGGGAGCACCAGAUCAGGGUCAACUGUGCUGGAGCUAAGGAGCCGGAGCCUUAGUAGACCUGCCUGGGCUGGACCACACUGCCAAGCUGUAUAAAUGCCAAAGUUUAUCUAAUGAAGAUACCGGGAAAGCAUACUAUCUGAGGCCUAUCGAAACUGCUUUUGACAUGUUUUCUGGACCCAGGCCCAGAGGUUUUAAGAAGACCUCUCUUUGCUGGAACGGCACCAUGAGACAAGAAUUGAAGCUCCAAGGUGUCCUUGACCAUCCAAGAAGGGCUGUGCUAGCUGCAGCUUGCAGGAAGGAUCAGGGAGUCUUCCUUUGGGUUCUCCUGAAAGCAGACUGUGAAACAAGGAUUGAGGGCAAAUUGUUCUCUGAGAGGAUGCAUGAUGGAGGGAAACACCCAGACUGGAAGCUCAGCAGAAGAACUGGGAGUAGCAUGGGAAGAGUCUGAG
rnacentral:lncRNA from 1 species